AUGAAUCAACAAAGAGGUAUACCGACAAGGAGGCAUACAAAGACUUCACCCUCUCUACAUCUCUGAUUAAUAUAACAGGAAACCUGUUCAAUCACCAUGCACUGCAAAAUCAUUGUGGCUAUGGAUACGGAGAACAUCAAGACAUUAACAUGCAAGAGGAUAUACCCAUUGGACUUGGGGCUCUGCUGGGAGUUUACAUCAUAUUUGGAUUUUUAAAUGCCGCU